AGUUGGACCUGUACUUCCCGAGGGUGACGUCACUGCCUGGUUCUGCCAGGAGUCCAGGACCCAGAGUCAGGGCCCGGCAUGGCUGUGUUUGGCUUACAGACAUGUUUCAUAUAGUCUGGGAAGAAAAGUUCAGAUGAACUCAUCAAACCUUCUAAAAUCUUCCUGGAGACCCAAGAACACAGAGAAGAACCUGGAUUUACCCUGGAAGGUCCCAUUGAGAUUAAAAACCAAAUUUUCAAAGGAGUCCUGGCCAACCUUCACCACCAUGCAGCCCCAGCAGUGAUCAAUGAAACACUCAGAGAAGAGCUUUUAAACUUUAGUGUGACAGGGCGAGUAUCCUGAUUGAUCAUGCGGCCUUGCUGCUUGGCCACGGGGAUGUCCCUUUGGCUGAUUGGUCCUGGGUGUCAUGGUCUGUGCUGAGUCUAAUUCUGUGUUGUGCUGAGUUUUUUCUGUGUGCAGGUGGGUGUGCCUGGAGAGAAGCUGCUGCCUAUCUGCUCAUCAGUGGCCAGGGGAUUUAAGGAGCAUCGGGACAACUCAUCAGUGCCGGAUGAUACUCAACAUUGGGUAGAACUCGUGCCAGUACCUUGCCUGAGCUUCUCUUCCUCCAACCAAACCUCCACCAUCUGAAAAUAGACUCACCGGAUUUCAACCCUGCCUGCCAGCCCGUCACUCGCCCCUGACCUCCUGCUCUCCUACCCCCACCUGCCAACCUGGACAACCCGAACUCUGGUGCUCAGCUCCCAGCCACACCUGACACUCACCCGACCAGCUCAGCCAGCCAUGACUUGCCUCCCCCCUCUCUAUGCCUUUACCAACAACCAGGAAACCAACUCUACCGGAACCACCCGAACUCAGACCAUCAUCACCUCCCAUCGUACAUAAAUAAACCUUUUUUUACAUA